ensembl:rRNA 5S_rRNA 5S ribosomal RNA
GUCUAUGGCCAUACCACCCUGAACGCGCCCGAUCUCGUCUGAUCUUGGAAGGAAGGGGGCCUGUGCCAGGAAGAGAGCUAUUAUAAAAGAUAUUUUACUUAAGAAACACAGUUGCAUAACAGGGCAGCGUUUAUU